UAAGGAAUAUUGGUCAAUGGAGGCAACUCUGAACCAGCCAUGCCGCGUGAAGGAUUAAGGCCCUCUGGGUUGUAAACUUCUUUUAUAUGGGAAGAAAUGUACUUUUUCUAAAGUGCUUGACGGUACCAUAGGAAUAAGCACCGGCUAACUCCGUGCCAGCAGCCGCGGUAAUACGGAGGGUGCGAGCGUUAUCCGGAUUUACUGGGUUUAAAGGGUGCGUAGGCGGAUGAAUAAGUCAGUGGUGAAAUCUCCGAGCUUAACUCGGAAACUGCCGUUGAUACUAUUUGUCUUGAAUAUUGUGGAGGUAAGCGGAAUAUGUCAUGUAGCGGUGAAAUGCUUAGAUAUGACAUAGAACACCAAUUGCGAAGGCAGCUUGCUACACAAUCAUUGACGCUGAGGCACGAAAGCGUGGGGAUCAAACA
rnacentral:rRNA from 1 species